UACGCGAAGAACCUUACCUGGCCUUGACAUGCCACUAACGAAGCAGAGAUGCAUUAGGUGCUCGAAAGAGAAAGUGGACACAGGUGCUGCAUGGCUGUCGUCAGCUCGUGUCGUGAGAUGUUGGGUUAAGUCCCGCAACGAGCGCAACCCUUGCCAAUAAUUGCCAUCAUUUAGUUGGGCACUUUAUUGGGACUGCCGAUGACAAAUCGGAGGAAGGUGGGGAUGACGUCAAGUCCUCAUGGCCCUUAUGGCCAGGGCUUCACACGUAAUACAAUGGUCGGUACAGAGAGUUGCCAACCCGCGAGGGGGAGCUAAUCUCAGAAAGCCGAUCGUAGUCCGGAUUGCAGGCUGCAACUCGCCUGCAUGAAGUCGGAAUCGCUAGUAAUCGCGGAUCAGCAUGUCGCGGUGAAUACGUUCCCGGGUCUUGUACACACCG
rnacentral:rRNA from 1 species